rnacentral:rRNA from 1 species
AGAUUGAACGCUGGCGGCAUGCCUUACACAUGCAAGUCGAACGGCAGCACGGGAGCAAUCCUGGUGGCGAGUGGCGAACGGGUGAGUAAUACAUCGGAACGUGCCCAAUCGUGGGGGAUAACGCAGCGAAAGCUGUGCUAAUACCGCAUAAGAUCUACGGAUGAAAGCAGGGGAUCGCAAGACCUUGCGCGAAUGGAGCGGCCGAUGGCAGAUUAGGUAGUUGGUGAGGUAAAGGCUCACCAAGCCUUCGAUCUGUAGCUGGUCUGAGAGGACGACCAGCCACACUGGGACUGAGACACGGCCCAGACUCCUACGGGAGCAGCAGUGGGAAUUUGGACAAUGGGACGAAAGCUGAUCCAGCCAUGCCGCGUGCAGGAUGAAGGUCCUUCGGUUGUAAACUGUCUUUUGUUACGGAACGUAAACGUACGUCUUUACUAAAUAAAGAAGGAAGUACAAUCGAACGGUAACCGUAAAGAAA